rnacentral:rRNA from 1 species
CCUACGGGAGGCAGCAGUAGGGAAUAUUGCUCAAUGGGGGAAACCCUGAAGCAGCAACGCCGCGUGGAGGAUGAAGGUUUUCGGAUUGUAAACUCCUUUUGUUAGAGAAGAUAAUGACGGUAUCUAACGAAUAAGCACCGGCUAACUCCGUGCCAGCAGCCGCGGUAAUACGGAGGGUGCAAGCGUUACUCGGAAUCACUGGGCGUAAAGAGCGCGUAGGCGGGAUAGCAAGUCAGAUGUGAAAUCCUAGGGCUUAACCAUAGAACUGCAUUUGAAACUGUUCUUCUAGAGUAUGGGAGAGGUAGGUGGAAUUCUUGGUGUAGGGGUAAAAUCCGUAGAGAUCAAGAGGAAUACUCAUUGCGAAGGCGACCUGCUAGAACAUAACUGACGCUGAUGCGCGAAAGCGUGGGGAGCAAACAGGAUUAGAUACCCGGGUAGUC